UGAGCGAUCUGCCCUUCUCUUCGGAAUAAGCGUGGAAAACCGCGUCUAAUGCCGAAUACGACCUCCUUUCGCAUGAUCGGAGGUGGAAAGCUCCGGCGGAGAAGGAUGAGCUCGCGGCCUAUCAGCUAGUUGGUGUGGGUAAUGGCCCACCAAGGCGACGACGGGUAGCCGGCCUGAGAGGGUGACCGGCCACACUGGGACUGAGACACGGCCCAGACCUCCUACGGGAGGNAGCG
rnacentral:rRNA from 1 species